GACGAACGCUGGCGGCGUGCUUAACACAUGCAAGUCGAGCGAGGUCCAUCCAGUGGCAACACUGGGGAAGACCUAGCGGCGAACGGGUGAGUAACACGUGAGCAACCUGCCCCGAAGACUGGGAUAACACCGGGAAACCGGUGCUAAUACCGGAUGUCCUCCUCUGGUCGCAUGGCCUAGGGAGGAAACGAAUUUUGCUUCGGGAGGGGCUCGCGGGCUAUCAGCUUGUUGGUGAGGAACGGCUCACCAAGGCGACGACGGCUAGCUGGUCUGAGAGGACGACCAGCCACACUGGGACUGAGACACGGCCCAGACUCCUACGGGAGGCAGCAGUGGGGAAUCUUGCGCAAUGGGCGAAAGCCUGACGCAGCAACGCCGCGUGGGGGAUGAAUGCCUUCGGGUU
rnacentral:rRNA from 1 species